rnacentral:rRNA from 1 species
GAUUGGGCUAUAUGGUAUCAGCUUGUUGGUGAGGUAACGGCUCACCAAGGCUAUGACGCCUAACUGGUCUGAGAGGAUGAUCAGUCACACUGGAACUGAGACACGGUCCAGACUCCUACGGGAGGCAGCAGUGGGGAAUAUUACACAAUGGAGGAAACUCUGAUGUAGCAACGCCGCGUGGAGGAUGACACAUUUCGGUGCGUAAACUCCUUUUAUAUGGGAAGAUAAUGACGGUACCAUAUGAAUAAGCACCGGCUAACUCCGUGCCAGCAGCCGCGGUAAUACGGAGGGUGCAAGCGUUACUCGGAAUCACUGGGCGUAAAGCGCAUGUAGGCGGUCUUGUAAGUUGGGUGUGAAAGCCUAUGGCUCAACCAUAGAACUGCACCCAAAACUACUAGACUAGAGUCUGGGAGAGGAAAAUGGAAUUAGUUGUGUAGGGGUAAAAUCCGUAGAGAUAACUAGGAAUACCAAAAGCGAAGGCAAUUUUCUGGAACAGUACUGACGCUCAGAUGCGAAAGCGUGGGUAGCAAACAGGAUUAGAUACCCUGGUAGUCCACGCCCUAAACGAUGAAUGUUAGUCGUCGGGAGGCUCGUCCUUUCGGUGAUGCAGCUAACGCAUUAAACAUUCCGCCUGGGGAGUACGGUCGCAAGAUUAAAACUCAAAGGAAUAGACGGGGACCCGCACAAGUGGUGGAGCAUGUGGUUUAAUUCGAAGAUACGCGAAGGACCUUACCUAGCCUUGACAUUGAUAGAAUCCGAUGGAAACAUUGGAGUGCCAGUUUACUGGAGCUUGAAAACAGGUGCUGCACGGCUGUCGUCAGCUCGUGUCGUGAGAUGUUGGGUUAAGUCCCGCAACGAGCGCAACCCUCGUCCUUAGUUACUAACGGUUCGGCCGAGGACUCUAAGGAGACUGCCUUCGUAAGGAGGAGGAAGGUGAGGACGACGUCAAGUCAUCAUGGCCCUUACGGCUAGGGCGACACACGUGCUACAAUGGAUAGGACAAUGAGACGCAAUACCUCGAGGUGGAGCAAAUCUAUAAACCUAUUCUCAGUUCGGAUUGUAGUCUGCAACUCGACUACAUGAAGCUGGAAUCACUAGUAAUCGUAGAUCAGCCAUGCUACGGUGAAUACGUUCCCAGGUCUUGUACUCACCGCCCGUCACACCAUGGGAGUUGAUUUCACCCGAAGCGGGGAAGCUAAACUGGCUACCCUCCACGGUGGAAUCAGCGACUGGGGUGAAGUGGUAA